rnacentral:rRNA from 1 species
AGAUUGAACGCUGGCGGCAGGCCUAACACAUGCAAGUCGAGCGGUAGAGAGGUGCUUGCAUCUCUUGAGAGCGGCGGACGGGUGAGUAAUGCCUAGGAAUCUGCCUAGUGGUGGGGGAUAACGUUCGGAAACGGACGCUAAUACCGCAUACGUCCUACGGGAGAAAGCGGGGGACCUUCGGGCCUCGCGCCAUUAGAUGAGCCUAGGUCGGAUUAGCUAGUUGGUGAGGUAAUGGCUCACCAAGGCGACGAUCCGUAACUGGUCUGAGAGGAUGAUCAGUCACACUGGAACUGAGACACGGGUCCAGACUCCUA